rnacentral:rRNA from 1 species
GGCCUAUCAGCUUGUUGGUGAGGUAAGAGCUUACCAAGGCUACGACGGGUACCGGGUGUGAGAGCAUGACCCGGCUCACUGGGACUGAGACACUGCCCAGACUCCUACGGGAGGCUGCAGUCAAGAAUCUUCCUCAAUGGCCGAAAGGCUGAAGGAGCGACGCCGCGUGUAUGAUGAGGCCCCUCGGGGUGUAAAGUACUUUUAUUAGGGACGAAACAAUGACGGUACCUAAAGAAUAAGGGGCUGCUAACCUCGUGCCAGCAGCAGCGGUAAUACGAGGGCCCCAAGCGUUAUCCGGAUUUAUUGGGCGUAAAGGGUCCGCAGGUGGUUUAGCGCAUCUUCUGUUAAAUCUAUCGGCUCAACCGGUAGACCGCGGGAGAGAUGGCUAGACUAGAGGCCGGGAGAGGUAAGCGGAAUUGCUGGUGUAGGGGUUAAAUCCGUUAAUAUCAGCAGGAACACCAAAUGCGAAGGCAGCUUACUGGAACGCGCCUGACACUCAUGGACGAAAGCGUGGGGAGCGAAUGGGAUUAGAUACCCCAGUAGUCCACGCCGUAAACGAUGGAUGCUAAGCAUUGGCAGUUUCGACCCUGCCAGUGCUGCCUACUCAAGUUAACACCUUAAGCACCCCGCCUGGGGAGUACGG